rnacentral:misc_RNA from 1 species
GAUGAAGAACGUAGCGAAAUGCGAUAAGUAAUGUGAAUUGCAGAAUUCAGUGAAUCAUCGAAUCUUUGAACGCACAUUGCGCCCGCCAGUAUUCUGGCGGGCAUGCCUGUCUGAGCGUCAUUUCAACCCUCAUGCCCCUAGGGCGUGGUGUUGGGGAUCGGCCAAAGCCCGCGAGGGACGGCCGGCCCCUAAAUCUAGUGGCGGACCCGUCGUGGCCUCCUCUGCGAAGUAGUGAUAUUCCGCAUCGGAGAGCGAUGAGCCCCUGCCGUUAAACCCCCAACUUUCCAAGGUUGACCUCGGAUCGGGUAGGAAUACCCGCUGAACUUAAGCAUAUCAAUAAGCGGAGGA